rnacentral:rRNA from 1 species
GACGAACGCUGGCGGCGUGCUUAACACAUGCCAGUCGAACGGAAAGGCCCUGCUUUUGUGGGGUGCUCGAGUGGCGAGCGGGUGAGUAACACGCGAGUAACCUGCCCUUGACUUUGGGAUAACUUCAGGAAACUGGGGCUAAUACCGGAUAGGAGCUCCUGCUGCAUGGUGGGGGUUGGAAAGUUUCGGCGGUUGGGGAUGGACUCGCGGCUUAUCAGCUUGUUGGUGGGGUAGUGGCUUACCAAGGCUUUGACGGGUAGCCGGCCUGAGAGGGUGACCGGCCACAUUGGGACUGAGAUACGGCCCAGACUCCUACGGGAGGCAGCAGUGGGGAAUAUUGCACAAUGGGCGGAAGCCUGAUGCAGCAACGCCGCGUGCGGGAUGACGGCCUUCGGGUUGUAAACCGCUUUCGCCUGUGACGAAGCGUGAGUGACGGUAAUGGGUAAAGAAGCACCGGCUAACUACGUG